rnacentral:rRNA from 1 species
UCGAGAGGGGAACGUAACCCGGCGAAAGUCGGACUAAUACCGCAUAAAACAAGGGGCACCGCAUGGUGAUAUUUGUUAAGAAAUUCGCUGAUAGAUGGGCAUGCGUUCCAUUAGGUAGUUGGUGAGGUAACGGCUCACCAAGCCGACGAUGGAUAGGGGAACUGAGAGGUUGGUCCCCCACACUGGUACUGAGACACGGACCAGACUCCUACGGGAGGCAGCAGUGAGGAAUAUUGGUCAAUGGGCGGGAGCCUGAACCAGCCAAGUCGCGUGAAGGAAAAGGAAGGAUCUAUGGUUCGUAAACUUCUUUUGCAGGGGAAUAAAGUGCAGGACGUGUCCUGUUUUGUAUGUACCCUGAGAAUAAGGAUCGGCUAACUCCGUGCCAGCAGCUGC